CCUACGGGCGGCAGCAGUGAGGAAUAUUGGUCAAUGGACGCAAGUCUGAACCAGCCAAGUAGCGUGCAGGAUGACGGCCCUCCGGGUUGUAAACUGCUUUUAGUUGGGAAUAAAAGGUGGCUCGUGAGCCCCGUAUUGUAUGUACCAUCAGCAAAAGGACCGGCUAAUUCCGUGCCAGCAGCCGCGGUAAGAUGGAAGGUCCGGGGGUUAUCCGGAUUUAUUGGGGUUAAAGGGAGCGUAGGCCGGCUUUUAAGUACGCUGUGAAAGUCCGCGGCUCAACCGUGGAAUUGCAGUUGAAACUGGAGGCCUUGAGUGCAGACAGGGAUGCCGGAAUUCAUGGUGUAGCGGUGAAAUGCGUAGAUAUCAGGAAGAACACCGAUCGCGAAGGCAAGUGUCCGGGGUGUAACUGACGCUGAGGCUCGAAAGUGCGGGUAUCAAACAGGAUUAGAUACCCGAGUAGUC
rnacentral:rRNA from 1 species